rfam:Ornithorhynchus anatinus chromosome 3, whole genome shotgun sequence.
AGCAGUGUGGCUCAGUGGAAAGAGCAUGGGCUUGGGAGUCAGAGGUCAUGGGUUCGAAUCCCAGCUCUGCCA